AUUGAACGCUGGCGGCAGGCCUAACACAUGCAAGUCGAACGAGUGGCGGACGGGUGAGUAAUGUCCGGGAAACUGCCCGACGGAGGGGGGUAACGACUGGACACGGUAGCUAAUACCGCAUACCAUCGGAUGGGCCCAGAUGGGUUGAGCUAGUAGGUGGGGUAACUGGUCACCUAGGCAACGAUCCCUAGCUGGUCUGAGUGGAUGACCAGCCCCACUGGAACGGAAACGCGGUCCGGCCCCAUACGGGAGGGAGCGGUGGAGUAUGUUAGACAGGGGGCGCAGGCCUGGUGCGAACAUGCCGAGUGUAUGGAGAGGGCCUUCGGGUUGUAAAGUACUUUCAGCGAGGAGGCGUUACUCGCAGAAGAAGCACCGGCUAACUCCGUGCCAGCAGCCGCGGUAAUAC
rnacentral:rRNA from 1 species